rnacentral:lncRNA from 1 species
AGUGCUUAGGAAAUAUUUUAAGAAUGUUCUGAGGUUCCACUUAAACAAUGGGUCUUGGCUGAGGUUUAGAAACAGCAGUUGCAGGCAGCAGGGGAAUGGUAACCAAAAUGAAGUUAUUCUCUUUGAACAACCAACACUUGGGAAGGGGACUAAACUGUUGCAAAGAAGCACUUUGGCUGUACACCAAGGAAGAAUCUUCACAUGUUCUCAAGAUAUAAACAACACUUUGGUAUAGUAAGAUUUCCCACAAGACUCAUUUCUCUCAGAGAUAUAAAAGUGAGGAAAACAUGU